CAACCAUAUCACAUUGAAACACCGGUUCUCGUAGGAUCGCCGAAGUUAAGCAACGUCAAGCCUGAUCAGUACCUAGUUGGGUAACCUCUUGGGAAUAACAGCGGCUGUAAG